UUUGAGGGCCCUUGGGGUGGUGGUCUUGCUGCCCUUCCACAUCCAUCAUCCCGGUGCUUCCUCGUUCAGGCAGUCUCAAAGGCUUUCUGUUGUUAUAUGUUUCCUCUCCCUUUCAGGGAGGCUAUGAGGACCUGGAAAGCAAACCCAAAGAAGCAACCUCAGGCUCUGGAUUCACCCUUCGUACCUCAUUAAAAAAAUUAUAUCCUACACUCUACACCCCAUUAUCUUAUUCUUGUGGGCCAUAAAAAUUCAUGAACUCACAAUAAUAUAAAUGAGAUGAGAUGAUUGAUGUGGUGCACUAUUAUAGUGCAGGAUAUAAUUUCUCACCUUAUAUAUCGAAUUAUUCUUUGUGCAAGAUGUGAUGGCGCACCAUGCCAAUAACAUUAUCUUAUUCUUGUGGGCCAUAAAAAUUCAUGAGCUCACAAUAAUAUAAAUGAGAUGAGAUGAUUGAUGUGGGCACUAUCAUAUAGUGUAGGAUAUAAGAUAUAUUUUUUUCAAGUUACGAGGUAAACAAAGAUUAAGAUGGUCAAUUAUAUCUAAAAUCAUACUUUUGUGAUCUAGCCUAGGUUGUGCUUAUGUUAAUUUAUGGAAUGAGCCAUAUGAUGCCCUCAAUGAAGUGCAUGGGGGAGAGCAACCACCAACCACAGUAUGGUGACUUUGACCUACCUCCAUCCCAAAUUCAUCGGGUAUUAAACCCUGCAUGUAUAGAUACAUCUAUGAAAAUCAAAAAAUAAAAUACUCAAAAAUUAAGUCGGAAGAUCCGACUGCUUGCAGCCAUUGCGAUUGUUUUGAUCGGUGCCCCUGAGUUCGCAGUCUAAUUGAAGAAAAUACAUGUCACAUAAUCUUUUGGCACUAGGCCUUAGAAAAGGAUCGCAAUACUCCACAUCACAAGUUCUAAAAGGCCAAUUCAUUAAAGAAUCCCAAGAAAGAGGAACCAAAACGCUCCACAUCAGAAACCAUAGUAAGGUGACUUUGGUUAUGAUGGUUCAUGUCACAGUGAUGGAAAAAGUAUGUUAAGAGUCUGAAAAAUUGAGGAAGAAAGACUCCACUUUGUAGGUGCGAUCAAAUCAGCAAAGCACAGGAUCUUCAAAAGAAUCAUCUAAUUAAAGGAAGUUUAAACUUUAAACAACGAUUAGGUCUUGAUAUUAUAUUUAAUUUUUUAAUACCUUUCUUCCUCUCUUCUCUCGCGUUAGCAAGCACGAGCCUUUUGCAUCAGAAGCUAGUCAAAGAGGUUCAUGGCUAGCUGGGUACCAUCCAUCUCCAUCACAUGGUGAUUUGAUUUGGGGGACCAAAAAGAUUUUUUAAAUUUAUCUUUUUUGCACAUAUUCGGGACAAAUCGAGCCAAAUUCAUGAACCCUGCCCUCUUGUCCAAGAGAAAAGAGAUGAUAUUAUUCGAGGAAACACUCAAUGUAGAUUAAUCAAUACUCUAAAAGCUUAAGUUGUAACAGAGAACAAUGUAUAUUAGUACUAUAGAAAAAGGGUCAACAAUAUAUAUCAGGCUUAGUACCUAUCUCAGGUGCAGCUCGGACCAUGCAUGUGGAGGAAUAAUUGCUUACCCAAGAGACAAGCGAUUAUAGCCAUAUGAGCAAGCACUCAGUGUUAGUUAACAAAUUUACUCCCCUCACAUGUAAUCAGGAUUCAAAUUUGUGACCUUCAGAAAACUUGAGCUAUGAUACUAUGUUAGUUAACAAAUUGACCACGAAAGUUUAAGCUGAAAGAGAAGGGGCCAACGACGAUAUAUAUUAUGCUUAAAAAGAAUUCACAUGAAAAGCCAAUUAGAGUUGGCACCUACAUUACUCAAACUUUGGCACCAUGCAUAUGAUUUAUAGCACAAGAUAUUAGCAGUAAAAAUGAAGGUUUAGUUUUCCUUAAAAAGAAAAAAAGGGAAAGAUGUGAAUGCCAAUAGUUCUGGUUGAAUGACAAGCAAGAUGGAUUGUUGUGAUGUCAAGAUUAUAUCAUCUCUCUAAAUUUGUGUUUGAAUAUAAAGAGAUCUCAUUUUUUUUUUUCCCUCUCCCAAACAUUAAGGAAAAAAAGAACUAAGCAAUGGAGAUGUCUUCAGUAAAAAUACAUACUACAAGAAAAUUCCUUUGAAGUAAGGAGAUAGAUAUAUAGCCGAUCAAUUAAAUGUUUGAUAAAAGUUUUAUUAUACAAUAGUAGAGAUUUUAGUGCCCGUCAAUUGAUUUGAAAUUUUCACAUUCUUUUGAAACAACCAUUUUUAUUAGAUUUUGAAACAACCAUUUAGCCAAUAUAAUAACAUAUAGAUGCCUGAUUAUAUGUUUGAACUAUUAUUAAUAUAACAAUAUACACUAUUAAAUUUAAUCUACUAAAUAGAGUUGGCAGUGGACUGAGUUGGGUUGUAUAAGAUCCUAUAUUUUAUAAUCGAGCUUUUUUAAAAAAAAUUUGGGUAGAUUUUUUAGCAGAUCGAGCCAAACGAGAAAUGUGUAGUUGGUUUGUUUAUUUUGGAUGCUUCAUGAUGAUUUCUCUGGUCAUAUAGGAUAUCUAAAAAGAUGAGAACAAAAUAAGGCCAAAAAGGAAGAAUUUACGAUCUUUUGCUCAUAGAUAAAUCUGAUUUGAAUUACAAAAAAGCAAAGUUAAAACAUGGAUUUUGGCUUGUUUUAUUCAAAGCAUAUAUAAAUGCUCCAACCUUUGGACCUUUGGCAGUCGGCAAAGUUCAGUCGACCAUCAAAUAUAAGUCAUACUGAUAAGAGUUUCAAAGGCGAGCAUUAUUGGAGGCAGUAUUUCAUAAAUCUGACAAGAUUCCUCUUUCCUGUAGUGACUUUUCCUUUGUUAAUCAUUCAACUAUGAAAGGAAGUGACAACUCUUGUAAAACAAAUGAAGACUCUUAGGUGCACUCUUUUUAUUCAAAGCAUAUAUAAGUGCUCCAUUUUUCUAUGAGUUGUUCCAUUCAAACGGGAGAACUCACUAGCCACUAUGCUCUUCAAUGUCCCACAUGAUGAAUCAUCCAAGCACCACAAAAAGGAAGAAGGAAGUGGCUUGAAUGGAAACUAUGAUCAUUUGUGAUGACAAAAGAUCUCAUCCCGAAACAUCUUACUGUAAUUAGGGAUAUAAUUAUUAAGUCACCAGCCUAUGAUGGACAACCGAGAAAUAGGGAUGGCAAUUUAUGAACCAACAAAUCAAUCUGACCCACAAACAACCUGCUUCGAGCAGGUUUGAGUUUGAUACAAAUGGGUUUGGAUCAUAUACCGGUCGACCUAUUUAGAACUGCUUAUUAAAUAGGUUAGGUUCCGAUUUAGAUCUUCAACCCGUUUAACCCAUUUUGAUCUAUUUAAUAAUUGGAUCGGAUUAUAACUUGAUCCAUUUAACCCGUUUAAGAUUUGUUUAUGUUGUUUAAAACCUACUUAACUAGUUUCUGUUAUGUUUAACCCUGCCCGCUUAACCAAUUUAACCUAUUUAAAUCCAUUUAAUUUUUUAAAAACACACAUAGCCUGUUUAACCUGUUUAAUUUGACUUAACCUGUUUAAUAAAUAGGUUAUCCGUUUAAUAAACAGGUCAGGUUCGGAUCUAAAUUUUUGACCUGUUUAAUAAACAAGUCAGAUUUGGAUUGAUAAAUUUUUGACCCAACUUGCAUCCAAUCCGACCCAACUCAAUUGCCACCCUAACCAGGAAACCACUGCAAACUAGAAGGCAUGAGCUUCUAGGGCAAAGGUAGGUUGUGAAUCUCAACACACCAUGAUACUGUAAUAUUUAAUCUGAAGGAAUGCUAAGAAAUUUGUAACCUAAUUCCAGAAGACAUUGAUCUUCAUUCAAGCAGGACACUACAUGGAUAAAUGAUUACUGGAAACUAAAAGAAAGGGUUAAAGAAAAGGAUGUUACCUGAAAAGAGAGAGAUGAUGAGCAGUGGACUUACAACUACGUGCUAGAUGUCCAUCUCCAUCCAGAAGUAUAAUGUUAGAUGGGAACAUUUUAUACUCAUAAGCAACAAUUUAUAGGAGUAUAGAAACGGAAUCCAAUGAUGCCAAUAUUAUUGGAUGGUUCCCUUCAGAAAAGAUAGCGCAUAGGAUGUUACGUGGGGGAAAAUUUCUCAACCAAUAACAACUUCAUGGAUAGAUGCAAAGCACACAUAUGAACAAACAAAUGCCUUUUCAUUAAUAGAUGCGUAAGGGUGGCAAUUUAUGACCCAACCUGUCGAUCAGAUCCGCAAAUGACCUGCUUUAAGCAGAUUUGGAUUUGACAUAAACAAAUUUAGAUUGUAAAUGGGUCAACCCGUCUAAACCUAUUUAUUAAAUGGGUUGGGUUCAGAUUUAAACUUUUGACCCGUUUAAUAAUUGGGUGGGUUAUGAUCCGAUCUGUUUAACCUAUUUAACGUCUGUUUUACCUGUUUGAAACCUGCAUAAUCUAUUUCUGACCUGUUUAACCCGACCCGCUUAACCUGUUUAAUCUGUUUAAAUCAAUUUAACCCGUUUAAAACUCACCUAACCUGUUUAAAACCCGCCGAACCCAUUUAACCUAUUUAAUAAAUAGGUUAUGUGGGUCAAGUUUGGUUAAAUAUGUCGGAUUCAGAUUUAAAUUUUGACCUGUUUAAUAAACAUGUCGGAUUUGGGUUGAUGAAUUUUUGACCCGAUCCGUAUCCUACUCGACCCGACCCUAUUGCCAUCCCUAAAUUAGAUGGUUCAUAUACUCGGUCAGAAGUCAACAGAAAGUUGCUAUCACAUGUGAAAGAGUGGACACCAUUAGAAAAUAAUAUUGCAUUGCAGGUCCUUUAUUUUGUUCUUUCUUUGUUGAUCCUUCUUCUCACUUUUGACCUCCUUGGUAUUUCUACUUUGUUUGUACUCUUUAAUGAAUUAAUCCUUUAGGCACUUGGUGCCUAUUGUUCCUCUUAAAAUGAUAAGGCAAUCCAUUUCCAACAUCCAUCCACUCAUUUUAAAGGUGGCAUCUCCAUUGGCGAGUAAUGGUCGGUAAGCAAGCUAGCUUGAUUUGACUCGCUCCAAAUCCUUCGGUAAGGACCACCCAAUGCUCAUCUUUUCAAAUGGAGAGGGACCUAUUGGAAUUGGAUAGAGAUGGCCACUAGAAGGACAUAGCAUAUUAGUAGUAGAUGCUAAAAGGUCCAAUAAAAGAAGAAAACAAUGUUUCCAAUCUAACAACGGCUGCAUUAUUUAUGUGUUAUAAUAUGGUAUUGUAACGCACUUGCCUUCUUCGGUGGAUGCAUAUGUUUGUCUAUUUCUAUUGCAUUGUCUAGAGAGAAUCCUAGACAAGGUAAUUGCCUGUUAAUGACUCCAUCCGUUCCAUUCAAAGUGAUGAAAAGAUAUGGUUGAAAUAUUCGUAUUAAUAUCCACUCACCAAGAUGUUGGGGUCAUGCUUGAGCUCAGCUCAUACUCGGCUUGAAAAAAGCUCAAAUCAAGUUUAAUGCGAAGCUAAACAAACCAAUUUUGAAUCAGCAAAAUAGGCUUCGAGCCAAAAAUCAACCCAACUCAAUCAAGCUCGACUCGAUAAUCCUCAUAUACAUUUGCAUUAUAUAUUUCAUGCAUAAUAGAUUGUUAGAUUGAGACUUUAAUUGGUACGUUCUUUUAUUCCUUAGAUUUUUUAAAUAUUACUAUAAACUUGGACCACACUUUAAAUUAAAUUAAGCAUCUAGCUUUUUAUUUUAGCUUGAGCAAAGUUUGAUUUAAUCCUAUAAAUAAGCAUGAAUUGAACUCAGAAUAAUGAUAAAAAUGUAUCAAGCUUGAUCGUGGGAUUCAAGCUGGAAACUAAUUUCAAACCAAGCUUGAUCAGGCAUAAACUCGAGCAAGCUUGGCUGGGAUUGCACCCCUAGCAUUAUGAUAUACAAAAUUGCUUUGGUAACUCAGAAAUGUAACUCUGAAAGUCACUCAACUGGUACAUUAUAUUCUCAUUGGUCCCUUUUAAUUAGAAUGUGAUAAAGCAAUGUUUACUCCAUAAAACAGUUGAGCUGACUCUUCUGAGUGAUUUUUCUGAGCUACCAUGGCACUUCUCUAUGGUAAAUAUUGUUAUUAUGUUUGUUGAUACAAAAUAGAUAGAUCUGAAGAUAGUAACAGAAAAGAUAUUAAUAUAUUGGCCGAGAUACAACAAAACAUAAUGAAUGAUGCAGAUCAUUAACUGGGAUGACCUACUGUCAUUCUGACAUAGAUCAUUACUGAUUGUAUCAUACCUUGCAACAUUAACUUAAGCAAAGCCCGCAAAGGAACCAUUUCUAUCCAUGAGCUUGUAUGCAUCGAUCAUGUUGGGUUAGUGAGCACCUUUACUCACAAUUGUUCAUAAUUUAUAAAGUUCCAGGCCCUGAUAUUUUAUCGUUUAGGCAAAACAUGGAAGAUCUAAACCCAAUCCUAGACACAAGUGAGUUAUGGAUUUAUAUCCGAUCCAAUGGAGAGGCAAUCAAGUUUCAGCCUUAAGAUUUCAAGUGAGAUACAGCUCAAAAACUCUUCAGGAUUUGUUUCCUGCGUUAAGAGGCCAUUUUUGAUAAGUUAUCAUUCAGAAUUGACUGCAAUAAGGCGACAAAUCUUCUACAACCCAAAGUUAUAGGAAAUUCCGGCAGCUCUAAGAGGGCCUACACCAGCUGCCCAACCUGAACAUGGCCUGAGACGAAGUGGACCAUCGUCAUAUGUUGGGCAAAAUCAGACCUAAAAUGAGAUGGAUCAAGUAAUACUCUGGUCUAGGCCUCGUUUGGAACCUGAUCCUGUCACAAAGCUUAUCUGCCAGCACGACCAAUCGUAUUGUUGGAUCUUCAGUCAGUGCAAAUGAGCCAAGCAACUCGUGAGAUGCUAGCUCAGCUGGACUAGAUUAUUACCAAGCUCACACUAUAACAAAAAUAAGGUUUUUCGACUCUUACCUGCCGACACAAGAAAGAAGCAUCGGUAAAUUGGUGACCAUGCCAAAAUUUGCCGACGUAGGCAGGAAUUAAACCAAAACGAUGCUGGUACUAGUGUCAUCAGAAUCCAAGAUUAAGACGACGCUAACAAGCGUUAUUGAAAGCCAAAUCCACCCCACCACCCUCGACGACCACCACACUUUAGCUUCCGACGACGCUUAUUUUGGCUUUAGACAACGCUUAUAAGCAUCGUUGGAAGCCAAACUACCACCCAAUGCUUAUAAGCAUUGUCGGAAGUCAAAUUGCCACCCACGCUGUGCUUUGGCCUCUGACGACGCUUAUAAAUGUCGUCAAAGGCCAUUACUCCUCCAACCUAAAUAAGAUAUAAGCCGUUCUUCUGCCAUUUGGUGCCCUAAAGCACAACUUAGCCGCUGCUAUAGAGGAGAAGCGACAAGAUAAAGUCGAUCAGUCGAUCCUUUAGGUCAUGCGCGCCACCUACAAGGGUCGGAAGGGCAAGGUCGUCCAAGUCUACUGCAAGAAGUGGGUCAUCCAUGUCGAGCGCAUCACCUGUGAGAAGGUGAAUGGAUCUGUGAAGCUUCUCCGGAGUACAACCAGCUCCUCAGUGGUGAUGCGCUGGAUCGGCCGCCUCAGAGCUCCUUGGGCAACCGCAGACCACAUCAGAGCAGGUCCGGUCAUCCUCGGAGGAGGUUCCACCCUCCCCCCCUUUGGAUGCAAAGGGUCACCACCCCACAUUGGCCUCCGAUCUGGCCAGCACACUGGCUUUGCGAUCCGUCAUCAGUGCUGUCCACCAAGAGUUUGAAGAAAUGAUCACACAGUAGCCCGGUCGCACGAGGUGUCUCCCCACCUUAGGAUUCUUAGUGUUUGCUAUCUCUGUUAUUACAUAUUCCAUACUUCAGUGAUUGGGAGGACCAUUGAGAGUUUUGCUUUUUUAUUUUCUCUUUUGAUCUAGAUAAAUCUCAUGUUUUAGUGCGUUAUAGAUUACCUCAAAAAAUGUGGUUUGAAAAUUAGCUUCAGACAAGAAUGUGCUUUUAUCAUAUUAAUUCUAAAAUCGGCUUGAUGAGAUUGCAUUGAUGGCAUUCUCUUCGUGUUUGAAGCUAAUGCUAUACUACUUUUUUUUUUUAUCAUCCUUGUGGAAGAGGAGAUUGAUGUAUGUCUGAAAAUUUAUUUAUUUUGAUAAAUUUUGGUUUUAUAGUUACACUACUGGUAGUUAGCGAAGCUUUUUACAAGCAUCGAUAGACUUUUUUUUUCACUCUUGUAUCGCCGACACUUUUGCGAUGCUUUCUAAAGUGUCGGCGAUAAAAUUACCGAUGCUUAUAAGCGCCAGUAUAUGCUCUAAAAAAUAUCGAAAAAGAUAGUUUUUUUUUGUAGUUCAAGUAGCUUGAACAAUUUUUGAGUCAAGUUAGAGUAACAAAAUAAUUGGUCGAAUCGAGUAUACACAUACAUACAUACAUAUAUAUAUAUAUAUAUAUAUAUAAAAUAUAAUAUUUUACUUAUAAAUAUUAUUAAUAUAAUAUUUUACAAAUAUAAUAUUUAUAUAUUUUUUAAUUUGAUCUAAGUUCUAACUUUUAUAAUUAUGACCAAGGCUUGAAUUUGAGCUCGAACUCGAGCUCGAGUAUGGCUCAGUUGAUAUUUGAGUUAAUCUCGUGUAUUACUUUUUUUUCUUUUUUGAUCAAGUCAAGUUCGAAUUUGGAUGUUAAGGCUUUGAUCGAUCUUGAAUCGAGUUUUGAGUUCGAGUAUUUUAAAUCGGUCAAGCUCAAGCCGCUAGCUUCUAGACUCAUCCCGACUUGAUUGUUUUCUUCUUUUUUUUUUUUGGAUCGAUCUUGAGUAUUUUGAUACUCCAGCUAAAAAAGUAGAGUUGAUCAUAGGUUGGGCUUGCUCAUAGGUAAUCUUAAAUUUUAAAUAGAUCCGGCCCAAAACUAAAUUAAAAAUAAAUAGAGUUUUGGCCCGAAGUUUGAUUUGCUCUUCUAAGAAGCUAUCCUGACCUAAGGCCAUUGUGAGCAAUUUCCAAGUUCACCUCAACUCUACAAUUGCUGCGAUGUUCUCUAGAAAGAAAGGACAUAGUGGGGACC
rnacentral:lncRNA from 1 species